rnacentral:rRNA from 1 species
GAUGAACGCUGGCGGCGUGCUUAACACAUGCAAGUCGAACGAGAAGUGGAGACGGAAACCUUCGGGCGGAAGACUUUACUUCGAGUGGCGGACGGGUGAGUAACGCGUGGGAAACCUGCCUCAUACAGGGGGAUAACAGUUGGAAACGACUGUUAAUACCGCAUAAGACCACAGCACCGCAUGGUGCGGGGGUAAAAACUCCGGUGGUAUGAGAUGGACCCGCGUUCGAUUAGCCAGUUGGCGGGGUAACGGCCCACCAAAGCGACGAUCGAUAGCCGAUCUGAGAGGAUGACCGGCCACAUUGGGACUGAGACACGGCCCAAACUCCUACGGGAGGCAGCAGUGGGGAAUAUUGCACAAUGGGGGAAACCCUGAUGCAGCGACGCCGCGUGAGUGAAGAAGUAUUUCGGUAUGUAAAGCUCUAUCAGCAGGGAAGAAAAUGACAGUACCUGAGUAAGAAGCCCCGGCUAACUACGUG